rnacentral:rRNA from 2 species
GCAGUCGACGAACUCUGGUAUUGAUUGGUGCUUGCAUCAUGAUUUACAUUUGAGUGAGUGGCGAACUGGUGAGUAACACGUGGGAAACCUGCCCAGAAGCGGGGGAUAACACCUGGAAACAGAUGCUAAUACCGCAUAACAACUUGGACCGCAUGGUCCGAGUUUGAAAGAUGGCUUCGGCUAUCACUUUUGGAUGGUCCCGCGGCGUAUUAGCUAGAUGGUGGGGUAACGGCUCACCAUGGCAAUGAUACGUAGCCGACCUGAGAGGGUAAUCGGCCACAUUGGGACUGAGACACGGCCCAAACUCCUACGGGAGGCAGCAGUAGGGAAUCUUCCACAAUGGACGAAAGUCUGAUGGAGCAACGCCGCGUGAGUGAAGAAGGGUUUCGGCUCGUAAAACUCUGUUGUUAAAGAAGAACAUAUCUGAGAGUAACUGUUCAGGUAUUGACGGUAUUUAACCAGAAAGCCACGGCUAACUACGUGCCAGCAGCCGCGGUAAUACGUAGGUGGCAAGCGUUGUCCGGAUUUAUUGGGCGUAAAGCGAGCGCAGGCGGUUUUUUAAGUCUGAUGUGAAAGCCUUCGGCUCAACCGAAGAAGUGCAUCGGAAACUGGGAAACUU